UCGGGAAUAUUGCGCAAUGGAGGAAACUCUGACGCAGUGACGCCGCGUGCAGGAAGAAGGGUUUUCGGAUUGUAAACUGCUUUUAGAUAGGGGAGAAAAAAAUUGACAGUACCUAUAGAAUAAGCUCCGGCUAACUACGUGCCAGCAGCCGCGGUAAUACGUAGGGAGCAAGCGUUAUCCGGAUUUAUUGGGUGUAAAGGGUGCGUAGAUGGAUAAACAAGUUGUUUGUGAAAUACCUCGGCUCAACUGAGGAACUGCAAGCAAAACUGUAUAUCUUGAGUACUGGAGGGGAAAGCGGAAUUCCUAGUGUAGCGGUGAAAUGCGUAGAUAUUAGGAAGAACACCGGUGGCGAAGGCGGCUUUCUGGACAGAAACUGACAUUGAGGCACGAAAGUGUGGGGAGCAAACAGGAUUAGAUACCC
rnacentral:rRNA from 1 species